UACGGAAGGCAGCAGGGGGGAAUAUUGCACAAUGGGCGAAAGCCUGAUGCAGCUAUGCCGCGUGUAUGAAGAAGGCCUUUAGGGGUUGUAAAGUACUUUUUAUCGGGGAGGAAAAAAACAAAACUAAUAAUUUUUAUUUUCUUGACGUUACCCGAAAAAAGAAGCACCGGCUAACUCCGUGCCAGCAGCCGCGGUAAUACGGAGGGUGCUAGCGUUAAUCAGAAUUACUGGGCGUAAAGAGCACGUAGGUGGUUUUUUUAAAGUCAGAUGUGAAAUCCCUGGGCUUAACCUAGGAACUGCAUUUUUGAAACUGAAAUACUAGAGUAUCGUAGAGGGAGGUAGAAUUCUAGGUGUAGCGGUGAAAUGCGUAGAUAUCUGGAGGAAUACCUGUGGCGAAAGCGGCCUCCUAAACGAAUACUGACACUGAGGGUGCGAAAGCGUGGGGAGCAAACAGGGAUUAGAUACC
rnacentral:rRNA from 1 species